GACUGUCUAAUUAAAACGAAGCAUUGAGAUGUCCACUGAUUUACUUUGACGCAAUAUGAUUUCUGCCCAGUGCCCUGAAUGUCAAAAUGAAGAAAUUCAACCGAGCGCGGGUAAACGGCGGGAGUAACUAUGACUCUCUAGCACACUGCUCUCCAUCGUCUUCCGAAUCUUUGGUCGUUUCUUCGCCUCCUCGACGUCGUUUCCGGAUCAAUUCAAUGCUACUCAAGACGGUGAUUCGGGACGUAUAAGUUGUUCUUAAUAAUAAUAAUAAUAAUAAUAAUAAU
rnacentral:ncRNA from 1 species